AGGAAUGCAAGCGCACAGUAAGCCAAAUGAAGGUACCUACACGGGGGCUUUGGUCAAGAGAGCCGGCCAGCCCAUCCAAGGGCCCAAAGGAUAGCCACGUGUGGGGGAGGGAAAAUAUGAGAUUUUGAUCAAAAAGCGUGAUAGGAGAUCACAGGUUCUCAUUUUCAAGCCUCUUUCUCUAUCUUAUUUCAGUAUCUCUUUCUCUCCUUGCCACCGUGGAAACAACUCACAAACCAAAUUCUCCACCUAUAUGGAUCAAUCACGGUGGCUAUGAUGAACUCAAAAUGAACAAUGUUGAAUGUUCAUCCGGCCCCAACCUAGAUUUCAAUAAACUAAACAAAAUAAAAAACGUUCAACACGAAACCCUCUCAUCUUUUCGCUCUGGUCACUAAUAUGGUCUCAAUUUAACCAAAGCAAACAUAAACACACAGAUAUACCCUUGAUCCCAAACAAACCGUAGGCCCCAAAUUUCAUUAUUUCACCAUGAUUACAACGAAUUUACAUCCAUUGGAAAUGCAAGAAGAUAAUAAUCGUUUAGAACUAACAAGAAAAAGGCAAGGAAAAAUGAAGAAAAAAAGAAGACCCUCGCUGGAAUCUGGAAUUCCGGAGAGGCCUCCGGCAAGCCUUCCAAAUCACCUCAGGGCUUUAGCUCAAGUUUGCAAGGCUUUGAGGGUAGGGAUUAGCAUGAAUUUCAACAGAGAUUUGUUGGGAUUUUUCCUGUUUGUUGAGAGUGAAUAGAGAGGCUGUUUAUAUAGGGGAAUUUUGAUGAAUCAUUGGUCCGUGUGAGUGAAUUGAGAGGGGGAACGUAGUGUGAAUGUGGGGAAUUUUGGAGGAAGUUUGUGUGAUGAAAAACGUGUGUGUGAGCAGGGUGAAUUGGGUGUGAGUGAGAUAUGUAUGUAUGAUAUGGUUUACAAUGGAGGAUAAUGAUGACAUAGAGUAUGGAUGAUGUGCUGAAGCUGUAAAAUGUGUGACCUGCCACCCAAAACUUCAAAUUCUUUUUUUUCACUUUUUAUUUCAAUUAUAAUGUAAUAGGAUGUAUGUAUGUUGUUGGAUGUAUGUAUGUACUUUAAAUUUCAAUUCACAUGUAAUGAAACUCAUUUCAAAUUAAUUCAAAUUAUUUCUUCUUCCUC